CGGACGGGUGAGUAACGCGUGGGUAACCUACCCUGUACACACAGAUAACAUACCGAAGGGUAUGCUAAUACGGGAUAAUAUAUUUGAGAGGCAUCUCUUGAAUAUCAAAGGUGAGCCAGUACAGGAUGGACCCGCGUCUGAUUAGCUAGUUGGUAAGGUAACGGCUUACCAAGGCGACGAUCAGUAGCCGACCUGAGAGGGUGAUUGGCCACAUUGGAACUGAGACACGGUCCAA
rnacentral:rRNA from 1 species